rnacentral:rRNA from 1 species
CCUACGGGUGGCAGCAGUGAGGAAUAUUGGUCAAUGGGCGAGAGCCUGAACCAGCCAAGUCGCGUGAAGGAUGACGGUCCUAUGGUUUGUAAACCUCUUUUAUCUGGGAACAAAGUGAGGAACGCGUUCCUUUUCGUGUGUACCCUAUGAAUAAGCAUCGGCUAACUCCGUGCCAGCAGCCGCGGUAAUACGGAGGAUGCGAGCGUUAUCCGGAUUUAUUGGGUUUAAAGGGUGCGUAGGGGGUGAAUUAAGUCAGCGGUGAAAGUUUGGGGCUCAACCCUAAAAAUGCCGUUGAAACUGGUUGACUAGAGUAGGUGUGAGGUAGGCGGAAUGCGUGGUGUAGCGGUGAAAUGCAUAGAUAUCACGCAGAACUCCGAUUGCGAAGGCAGCAUACUAGACUAUAACUGACACUGAGGCACGAAAGCGUGGGGAUCGAACAGGAUUAGAUACCCGUGUAGUC